ACGGACAAAGGGCUGCAAGUUCGCGAGGACAAGCAAAUCCCAUAAACCGUGGCUCAGUUCAGAUCGUAGGCUGCAACUCGCCUACGUGAAGGCGGAAUCGCUAGUAAUCGCAGGUCAGCAUACUGCGGUGAAUACGUUCCCGGGCCUUGUACACACCGCCCGUCACACCAUGGAAGUUGGCCACGCCCGAAGCCGUUACUCCAACCCUUGUGGAGGAGGACGUCGAAGGUGGGGCUGAUGACUGGGGUGAAGUCGUAACAAGGUAUCCGUACCGGAAGGUGCGGAUGGAUCACCUCCUAA
rnacentral:rRNA from 1 species